GGGGGGAGGCUGGAUCCUGGGCUGUGUCCCGGUGCUCUGUGCUCCGGGGCCUGCGCUGUUGGAUUCACGCUGCUGGCCAGGGCAGCCCCCU
rnacentral:pre_miRNA from 1 species